rnacentral:tRNA from 1 species
GACUGCGUCGCUUAGUGGUUAGAGCAUCUCGUUGUGGUUUUCUUUACUACCCCUGCUUUCGCAGGACUAGUAAAUGCCCCGAGAAGACGGGUGUUCGAUUCACCCCGCGGUCA